rnacentral:rRNA from 1 species
CAGUGGGGAAUAUUGCACAAUGGGCGCAAGCCUGAUGCAGCCAUGCCGCGUGUAUGAAGAAGGCCUUCGGGUUGUAAAGUACUUUCAGCGGGGAGGAAGGUGUUGAGGUUAAUAACCUCAGCAAUUGACGUUACCCGCAGAAGAAGCACCGGCUAACUCCGUGCCAGCAGCCGCGGUAAUACGGAGGGUGCAAGCGUUAAUCGGAAUUACUGGGCGUAAAGCGCACGCAGGCGGUCUGUCAAGUCGGAUGUGAAAUCCCCGGGCUCAACCUGGGAACUGCAUUCGAAACUGGCAGGCUAGAGUCUUGUAGAGGGGGGUAGAAUUCCAGGUGUAGCGGUGAAAUGCGUAGAGAUCUGGAGGAAUACCGGUGGCGAAGGCGG